rnacentral:rRNA from 1 species
AGCGAACGCUGGCGGCAGGCCUAACACAUGCAAGUCGAACGAACUCUUCGGAGUUUGUGGCGGACGGGUGAGUAACACGUGGGAACGUGCCUUUAGGUUCGGAAUAACUCAGGGAAACUUGUGCUAAUACCGAAUGUGCCCUUCGGGGGAAAGAUUUAUCGCCUUUAGAGCGGCCCGCGUCUGAUUAGCUAGUUGGUGAGGUAAAGGCUCACCAAGGCGACGAUCAGUAGCUGGUCUGAGAGGAUGAUCAGCCACAUUGGGACUGAGACACGGCCCAAACUCCUACGGGAGGCAGCAGUGGGGAAUCUUGCGCAAUGGGCGAAAGCCUGACGCAGCCAUGCCGCGUGAAUGAUGAAGGUCUUAGGAUUGUAAAAUUCUUUCACCGGGGACGAUAAUGACGGUACCCGGAGAAGAAGCCCCGGCUAACUUCGUG